rnacentral:rRNA from 1 species
UACGUAGGGCGCGAGCGUUGUCCGGAAUUAUUGGGCGUAAAGAGCUCGUAGGCGGCCUGUUGCGUCCGCUGUGAAAUCCCCAGGCUCAACCUGGGAACUGCGUCUGAUACUGGAUGGCUUGAAUCCGGGAGAGGGAUGCAGAAUUCCAGGUGUAGCGGUGAAAUGCGUAGAUAUCUGGAGGAAUACCGGUGGCGAAGGCGGCAUCCUGGACCGGCAUUGACGCUGAGGAGCGAAAGCGUGGGGAGCGAACAGG